UAGCAUAUCAAUAAGCGGAGGAAAAGAAACCAACAGGGAUUGCCCUAGUAACGGCGAGUGAAGCGGCAACAGCUCAAAUUUGAAAGCUGGCCUUCGGGUCCGCAUUGUAAUUUGUAGAGGAUGCUUUGGGUAAAACGCCAGUCUAAGUUCCUUGGAACAGGACGUCAUAGAGGGUGAGAAUCCCGUAUGUGACUGGAAAUGUUAACCUAUGUAAAGCUCCUUCGACGAGUCGAGUUGUUUGGGAAUGCAGCUCUAAAUGGGAGGUAAAUUUCUUCUAAAGCUAAAUAUUGGCGAGAGACCGAUAGCGCACAAGUAGAGUGAUCGAAAGAUGAAAAGCACUUUGGAAAGAGAGUUAAAAAGCACGUGAAAUUGUUGAAAGGGAAGCGCUUGCAAUCAGACUUGUUUAAACUGUUCGGCCGGUCUUCUGACCGGUUUACUCAGUUUGGACAGGCCAGCAUCAGUUUCGGCGGCCGGAUAAAGGCUCUGGGAAUGUGGCCUCCACUUCGGUGGAGGUGUUAUAGCCCAGUGUGUAAUACGGCCAGCCGGGACUGAGGUCCGCGCUUCGGCUAGGAUGCUGGCGUAAUGGUUGUAAGCGACCCGUCUUGAAACACGGACCAAGGAGUCUAACAUCUAUGCGAGUGUUCGGGUGUCAAACCCCUGCGCGUAAUGAAAGUGAACGGAGGUGAGAACCGCAAGGUGCAUCAUCGACCGAUCCUGAUGUCUUCGGAUGGAUUUGAGUAAGAGCAUAGCUGUUGGGACCCGAAAGAUGGUGAACUAUGCCUGAAUAGGGUGAAGCCAGAGGAAACUCUGGUGGAGGCUCGCAGCGGUUCUGACGUGCAAAUCGAUCGUCAAAUUUGGGUAUAGGGGCGAAAGACUAAUCGAACCAUCUAGUAGCUGGUUCCUGCGA
rnacentral:rRNA from 1 species